UACGUAGGGUGCGAGCGUUGUCCGGAAUUAUUGGGCGUAAAGGGCUCGUAGGCGGUUUGUCGCGUCGGGAGUGAAAACCCAGGGCUUAACCCUGGGCUGGCUUCCGAUACGGGCAGACUAGAGGUAUGCAGGGGAGAACGGAAUUCCUGGUGUAGCGGUGAAAUGCGCAGAUAUCAGGAGGAACACCGGUGGCGAAGGCGGUUCUCUGGGCAUUACCUGACGCUGAGGGGCGAAAGCGUGGGGAGCAAACAGG
rnacentral:rRNA from 1 species